UGGCUCAGACACCGAAUCUUGUCGUACGGUGAAAUUAAUCAUGUUUCAAGUUUUGCCCGUUUGAUUGGGAUGCAGAAUUUUUUAUGCCAAAGUAGGAGGGCACUUUUACACUGAGAUGCUUCAUAUCAAUCAUUUUGAUCCCAGCAUUUAUAAUACCUACCACCACCACCACAACAACAGCCAGUCCAACCUCAGUUGACAGUCAUUUCAAGGUGUUCGCGUUUUCUCCGUCGGUUCAUGCCCACUGGAACUAGAGUGGUGAUCCAGUAUCCAGUAUCCGGAUUCUAUGCAAUAAUGACCGAUGUCGAUGGAUACUUGCGACGUCAGUUGGCCGUCGACUGAGGAUGAAAAUCGAAAGCAUGGAUAUUGAAAGCCAAACCCAAUGCAGAAACGACAUGCUCGCCAUCUUUAGCACCACUGGAGGGAACAUAGGAUUCUGCGGCACUGGAGCAUCCGAUGGUUACACCUCUGCGGGCAACUUCGUGGUCUUAAAUUCAUUUCUAACAACUCUGUUGCUGAAAUGGCUUUAGAGUAGUCAUCCAAGCCUUUUGAUGUUAGAUAUGGUUACGUGAUUUUCUUUUUUUUCCAUGUAAAAUUAUUCGGAACAUUUCCUGUCAUUUCAUGCUUAAAUCACCAUGUUUUUAACAACAAAUUGGUUUCAUUAAAAUGAAAAGUUUUACGGAACUUGCCCUUGCUUUAAACUGUCCGCAUUUGUAGGUUUCUACAAUCUUACCAAAGGUAAGGCUAUAAUAAAGAAGUAAGUAAGAAAGACUGGUCAAAGGUCACCACAAGAUGUUCUCAGGAACUUAGAAAAAUUGUCCUCGACUGUAGAUGUUUCAACUUCUUCGGGAAUAGUAGGAGAAGCAAAAAAAAAAAGAAACAAUGCCGCUCCCAGAAAGCUGCCCAUUUCUAUGGGGCGGCAUAGGUUGCACUAUGUUGCACUUUUAGCUUUUGUUUUCUUUAAAUUGAAGCAAAAUAACGACACAGAUUGUGGCCCAAUCAAUGUUAAAAAAAGUGAAGAGCACUGACAUCGUGUACAUUUGUAAAGCGUCCUUUUUUCGCUCCAAGCAAAAUCAUUCGAUCGG